GAUGAAAACGCAGCGAAAUGCGAUAAGUAGUGUGAAUUGCAGAAUUCAGUGAAUCAUCGAAUCUUUGAACGCACAUUGCGCCCCAUGGUAUUCCGUGGGGCAUGCCUGUUCGAGCGUCAUUUACCCCCUCAAGCUCCGCUUGGUGUUGGGCGUCUGUCCCGCUUCGCGCGCGGACUCGCCCCAAAGGUAUUGGCAGCGGUCGUGCCAGCUUCUCGCGCAGCACAUUGCGCUUCUCGAGGCACCGGUGGGCCCGCGUCCAUCAAGCUCACCCCCCCAGUUUGACCUCGGAUCAGGUAGGGAUACCCGCUGAACUUAAGCAUAUCAAUAAGCGGAGGA
rnacentral:misc_RNA from 1 species